rnacentral:rRNA from 1 species
UACGUAGGGGGCAAGCGUUGUCCGGAAUUAUUGGGCGUAAAGAGCUCGUAGGCGGUUUGUCGCGUCUGCUGUGAAAACCUAAGGCUCAACCUUGGGCUUGCAGUGGGUACGGGCAGACUAGAGUGCGGUAGGGGUGACUGGAAUUCCUGGUGUAGCGGUGGAAUGCGCAGAUAUCAGGAGGAACACCGAUGGCGAAGGCAGGUCACUGGGCCGCAACUGACGCUGGAGGAGCGAAAGCAUGGGGAGCGAACAGG